UUAUUUGCCCGAAGGGGACGUCCU
rnacentral:miRNA from 1 species